CGGGUUUGUUAAUAGGGGUAAAUAAGUGAAAGAUAAAUCGAAUAAAUUUGAUUGAUCAAGCUAUUGAAAUGAAACGAGAAAUUGAAUUGAGAAUUGAAAAUUUAUAUGAAAUUGAAAAUAUGAACCAAAGGUUCAUGAAAUGAUUGGAGUUCGAAUUGAUGAUAUAUGAUGCCACUUGAUGAAUUGAAAUGUGAUUUGAGAUAUA
rnacentral:lncRNA from 1 species